UCAAGACAAUUUUGAACAAUUUUCUUGUGCACUUCAUAAAUAUAGGUCUUAAAAGUAUUUUCCAUAUUUCUUUCCUUGUUUCCCUUCUUCCCAAAAGAAGUCUUUAUAUGUUGUAUCAGGUCAAUAGAAUAUCUUCAAUUAAACUCCACUGGAGGUGGUUAGUUAAAGGUGAGUUUGAUGUGACAGUUUUGUUGCCAAAUAAAGUUUGACAUGUACACAUUCAAAAUUGGAAGACAGUUGACAAUAUUAAAGUAAUUUUCUUUUAAGAUCAUAGUGAAAUAUUUGAAUUUCAGAUUUAGCUUUUAUGAGAAUUUGAUUAGGAAAGUAUUCAGUGAUUUUUUUGUGGUGGAUAUUUGGGAUAAUGACAUUUGCUUGUCAGCUGUUCCCUUUGAUUGGUUUAGGUUUGUUAAUUCUGGUCUUAGCUUAAUGCUUAUUUUAUUAACACUUCUGUGUGUCAGAAGACUGCUUGUUUUAAAACACAGUGAAUAAUUUACUUUGAAAAUAGAACUAUAACCUUGAAACGGUUUUAUGAUUUUCAUAUCCUAAAAGUUUCUAAUCAGUGUAGUAGUAGUUUUUGACCAGGUAAGUGAAUAUUUGGUGGUAUGUUCAUUUGCUGGUUCAUAAACUUAGGCAUGUAGGGUAAGUAUAUGACCAUAAUUACGCGAGUUUCUUAGUUUGAGCAGUUAAAAUGACUUUGCAUUUCAGACACAGUAUUUAAAUCAUUAUAUAUGUGAUUCAUUAGAGAGAUAAUAUACUGAGGUAGCAUAUGCUGGAACACUUUAAAAAUAAGCUUUCAGAUAUGUCCCAGUGUCUUUUUUUUUCUGGACAAAUCGAAAUUGUUAUAAUAAUACUCUUUCAAGAUCCUCUCAUUAAGUUCCACCUAAGUAUAAAAUGAUCUCCAAAAUGUCACUAACACAAAUAGGGAAUAUAACACAACUAUACAAGCAUUUGCCUCUCUUGGAAAAGUCAUUAGAGCAAAUAUUCAAAUUAUAUUCAAGGAUGAUUCAAGUUAUGUCCAGGAACUGGCCUGUGCUCUCAGAGAAAACAAAAAUGUUUAUCCCCUUUCUGCCUUCAGCGAGUGCAGUGGGCUUGUUGUAGCACAGUUUCACUUACUUGAUUUGAGGGUAUGGCUUAUUUUUUUCUAGGUUGAUGCAAAAGUAAUUGCAGUUUUUGCCAACCUAAUAUUACAGUUCAUUAUAAUGAAUUAAUGGGUAUAUUUUUUAAAUUCUGCAAUUCUUAAUUCUCAGUAAGCCUUAUAUUAGAACUAACAUAAGAAGACAAUUUAGUAAAAAAAAGAAAAAUAUGUGUAUGAUUACUUAAAAUGUAAGGUUUAAAUGCUAGGAUCAUAAAUUAAGACCCUUUGAAAGGCUGGAAUUUCUUACUGCCUUGUUUUGUGAAAGUUACUGACUAUUUUAUGUUAGUCGUGACCCAUGUAUUAAGAUUGAAUAAUAUUUCAACUUGUUCCCCAAGAAAGAAUAACAUGAAAGUUCAGUAAACAUUGAUGAUGUGAUCUUAGUAUUUGGCCAUUUUAAAAUUUUGUUGGUUGUCUAUUCUUAUGUUUUGCCACAGUCCUAUCAGGUUAUUUGUAUUUUAUUCUCGAUUUUUAGAUCCUGUUUGCACUUUGAGGGUAGUGACUCUUCAUUAUGUAUUUUACAUUUCCCCCAAUUUGUUUUCUUUCUUUGUACUCUGCCUAUACUUUUCUUUUCCAUGUGGAAGUCUUCUUUUUUCUCUUAGACAAAUUUGUUAGUCCUCCUUUCUGUAUUCCUCAUUUCCCUUACUUAGGCCUUUUCUCCUAAUUAUAAAAAUUUUAACGUAAUUUCUUCUAGUUUUUCCUUUUUUCUUCUAAAAUUUAAAUAUUUGCUCAAUCAGGAACGAGUUUGUUCUAAGGGAUGAGAGAACUCUAUGUAUAUUCUUUUUCAAAUGGCUAGUUUCCUAAAGCCGUUACUAUGUAUUUAGUCUCUUAUCCACAGAUUUGAAACGUCUUGGUUGUCAAUUUCCAUGUAAGCAUAGAUUUUGCAUUCUCUUUCAGUGGUUUUCUUUUUUCUAUUCCUACUUUAAUACUAUCCUGAUUUUGAUUACUGUAACUUUUCAUUGCAUAUUACUAUGUAAAAUUCCUUUUAUUUUUCAGAUACUUUCUGUUUGUAAAAUGUUUUCUUCAGGAGAACUUUUAAAUCAUUUUUAUCAAGGAGAAAAAAGGCACUUAGAUUAAUGUAGGAGAUUUGGCAUUUUUACAGUGAUAAAGGUUUUUUCUUAUUCAGAUGCUUAGGAAAGUUUUUGCCAUAUACAUCUUCAUAUUUAUGGUAUUUUUCACUAUUGUGAAUGUGUUUCUUUUUUCCUUAUGCUUUCUAAUUGGUUAUUGUAGAUGUUUACUUCAGACACUGAUUUUAUUGGAUAUAUUUUGUCUCUGGCAGUCUUAUAGAAUUCACAUUUUUCUGGUAGUUUUCAAAUGUUUUUAAUUGUUUUUGUAACUGUACAGUCAUAUCGUAUAGAAUGUUAUUUUUGGCCAGGACUUUCACAUUGUAGGUUGGUGCUUCUAGUAUUUACGCAUUGAGCAUUAACCCAUUUAUGCUGGAGGUUGCAGUUUUUUCAAUUGCAGACAUGUGAAAAAUCAGACCUUGGCGAUGACCUUGAGCAGUAGUAGGAUAUAAAUAACUCCCACAAUCUUAGAGUUCCAACAAUGGAACAGUAGGCAUAAAUGGGUUAAAAAUGGCUCUCUACCACAUCUC